ACUCAAACAACUACCCAUUCUCCAUGCCACGCUAUUCAAUUCAAUAAUAUAAGUAAAGAGUGAUAUCUCUGUUGAACGCGAACACCGAUAUAUAUGUGGAAACUACUUAGGGUCAAACACACCCUAAGCAUAAAACCACGGCCUAAUCUACUCAAAUUUCCAUAAAUCAAAAGGUUAUGCAAAAAUACUACAAGUUAGUAAUUACCGACUUUCA